GACGAACGCUGGCGGCGUACUUAACACAUGCAAGUCGAGCGGUAAGGCCCUUUCGGGGGUACACGAGCGGCGAACGGGUGAGUAACACGUGGGUGACCUGCCCUCAGCUCUGGGAUAAGCCUGGGAAACCGGGUCUAAUACCGGAUAUGACUCCAUGACGCAUGUUGUGGGGUGGAAAGCCUUGUGCGGCUGAGGAUGGGCCCGCGGCCUAUCAGCUUGUUGGUGGGGUGANGGCCUACCAAGGCGACGACGGGUAGCCGGCCUGAGAGGGCGACCGGCCACACUGGGACUGAGACACGGCCCAGACUCCUACGGGAGGCAGCAGUGGGGAAUCUUGCGCAAUGGGCGAAAGCCUGACGCAGCGACGCCGCGUGAGGGAUGACGGCCU
rnacentral:rRNA from 1 species